UACGUAGGGGGCAAGCGUUGUCCGGAUUUAUUGGGCGUAAAGAGCGUGUAGGCGGCCUUGCAGGUCUGCUGUGAAAACUCGAGGCUCAACCUCGAGAUGUCGUCGGAAACCGUCUGGCUAGAGUCCGGAAGAGGAGAGUGGAAUUCCUGGUGUAGCGGUGAAAUGCGCAGAUAUCAGGAAGAACACCUAUGGCGAAGGCAGCCCUCUGGGACGGUACUGACGCUGAGACGCGAAAGCGUGGGGAGCGAACAGG
rnacentral:rRNA from 1 species